CCUACGGGGGGCAGCAGUGAGGAAUAUUGGUCAAUGGACGAGAGUCUGAACCAGCCAAGUAGCGUGAAGGAUGACUGCCCUAUGGGUUGUAAACUUCUUUUAUAUGGGAAUAAAAUGUUCCACGUGUGGUCUUUUGUAUGUACCAUAUGAAUAAGGAUCGGCUAACUCCGUGCCAGCAGCCGCGGUAAUACGGAGGAUCCGAGCGUUAUCCGGAUUUAUUGGGUUUAAAGGGUGCGUAGGUGGAUUGUUAAGUUAGUUGUGAAAGUUUGCGGCUCAACCGUAAAAUUGCAGUUGAAACUGGCAGUCUUGAGUGCAGUAGAGGUAGGCGGAAUGCGUGGUGUAGCGGUGAAAUGCUUAGAUAUCACGAAGAACUCCGAUUGCGAAGGCAGUUCACUGAACUGCAACUGACACUGAGGCUCGAAAGUGUGGGUAUCAAACAGGAUUAGAUACCCGAGUAGUC
rnacentral:rRNA from 1 species